rnacentral:rRNA from 1 species
AGGGCACCACCAGGAGUGGAGCCUGCGGCUUAAUUUGACUCAACACGGGAAAACUCACCCGGCCCGGACACUGGAAGGAUUGACAGAUUGAGAGCUCUUUCUUGAUUCAGUGGGUGGUGGUGCAUGGCCGUUCUUAGUUGGUGGAGUGAUUUGUCUGGUUAAUUCCGAUAACGAACGAGACUCUAGCCUAUUAAAUAGAUCGUUGGCUUACAAACGCCGGCGAGACUUCUUAGAGGGACAGGCGGCGAUUCAGCCGCACGAAACAGAGCAAUAACAGGUCUGUGAUGCCCUUAGAUGUCCGGGGCCGCACGCGCGCUACACUGAAGUGAUCAGCGUGCAUUUUGAAACCUACUCUGUCAAGAGUGGGGAACCCAAUGAACCUUCUUCGUGAUUGGGAUAGGGGAUUGUAAUUAUUCCCCUUGAACGAGGAAUUCCCAGUAAGCGCGAAUCAUAAGUUUGCGCUGAUUACGUCCCUGCCCUUUGUACACACCGCCCGUCGCUACUACCGAUUGGAUGUUU